UGCGGCCUCGACUGCGGCAAGAAGCCACUGCUGCUGCAGACGGCGGCGGCAGAGCUGCGCUUCUGCUGCGAAGGCUGCAA
rnacentral:tRNA from 1 species